AGUGAGUGGCGGACGGGUGAGUAACACGUAGGUAACCUGCCCCGGAGCGGGGGAUAACAUUUGGAAACAGAUGCUAAUACCGCAUAACAACAAAAGCCACAUGGCUUUUGUUUGAAAGAUGGCCUUGGCUAUCACUCUGGGAUGGACCUGCGGUGCAUUAGCUAGUUGGUAAGGUAACGGCUUACCAAGGCGAUGAUGCAUAGCCGAGUUGAGAGACUGAUCGGCCACAAUGGAACUGAGACACGGUCCAUACUCCUACGGGAGGCAGCAGUAGGGAAUCUUCCACAAUGGGCGCAAGCCUGAUGGAGCAACACCGCGUGAGUGAAGAAGGGUUUCGGCUCGUAAAGCUCUGUUGUUGGAGAAGAACGUGCGUGAGAGUAACUGUUCACGCAGUGACGGUAUCCAACCAGAAAGUCACGGCUAACUACGUGCCAGCAGCCGCGGUAAUACGUAGGUGGCAAGCGUUAUCCGGAUUUAUUGGGCGUAAAGCGAGCGCAGGCGGUUGCUUAGGUCUGAUGUGAAAGCCUUCGGCUUAACCGAAGAAGUGCAUCGGAAACCGGGCGACUUGAGUGCAGAAGAGGACAGUGGAACUCCAUGUGUAGCGGUGGAAUGCGUAGAUAUAUGGAAGAACACCAGUGGCGAAGGCGGCUGUCUGGUCUGCAACUGACGCUGAGGCUCGAAAGCAUGGGUAGCGAACAGGAUUAGAUACCCUGGUAGUCCAUACCGUAAACGAUGAGUGCUAGGUGUUGGAGGGUUUCCGCCCUUCAGUGCCGGAGCUAACGCAUUAAGCACUCCGCCUGGGGAGUACGACCGCAAGGUUGAAACUCAAAGGAAUUGACGGGGGCCCGCACAAGCGGUGGAGCAUGUGGUUUAAUUCGAAGCUACGCGAAGAACCUUACCAGGUCUUGACAUCUUGCGCUAACCUUAGAGAUAAGGCGUUCCCUUCGGGGACGCAAUGACAGGUGGUGCAUGGUCGUCGUCAGCUCGUGUCGUGAGAUGUUGGGUUAAGUCCCGCAACGAGCGCAACCCUUGUUACUAGUUGCCAGCAUUAAGUUGGGCACUCUAGUGAGACUGCCGGUGACAAACCGGAGGAAGGUGGGGACGACGUCAGAUCAUCAUGCCCCUUAUGACCUGGGCUACACACGUGCUACAAUGGACGGUACAACGAGUCGCAAGCUCGCGAGAGUAAGCUAAUCUCUUAAAGCCGUUCUCAGUUCGAACUGUAGGCUGCAACUCGCCUACAUGAAGUCGGAAUCGCUAGUAAUCGCGGAUCAGAAUGCCGC
rnacentral:rRNA from 1 species